rnacentral:misc_RNA from 1 species
AGUGCCACAAAUUUCAAAAUAUUUUUCUGCAUUUGCUAGCCAACCCAGAAGGUCGAUUCCAACGAAAAAGGGAACCUCCAGUUUCUGGACAUAGCAAUCUGCAUCUGUGGCGUUAGGAUGAGGAGACUGACUAACCAAACCGUCAGCAUCUAAGACUCAACUAUGGCUGAAAGGCGUACUGACUUGGUCUUCCUCGACCCAUGCUUUGCUGCUAGCUACGGAAAAAUUAUAAAGAAUAGCAAAGAAUUGAAGAAAUUCUAAUUUGGACAGAAGAUUUCAUGGCCAGUUGUAAUAUUGUAAUAUUCACAUGGUUAGCUGUGAGACUAAAGAGUAAGCAUGGUUGCUUGUGG